rnacentral:rRNA from 1 species
UACGGGAGGCAGCAGUGGGGAAUAUUGCACAAUGGGCGCAAGCCUGAUGCAGCCAUGCCGCGUGUAUGAAAAGGCCUUCGGUUGUAAGUACUUUCUAGUCGUGAGGAAGGUGUUAAGGUUAAUAACCUUAGCAAUUAGACGUUAGCGACAGAAGAAGCACCGGCUAACUCCGUGCCAGCAGCCGCGGUAAUACGGAGGGUGCGAGCGUUAAUCGGAAUUACUGGGCGUAAAGGGCACGCAGGCGGUUAAUUAAGUUGGAUGUGAAAUCCCCGGGCUUAACCUGGGAAUGGCAUUCAAGACUGGUUAGCUAGAGUCUUGUAGAGGGGGUAGAAUUCCAUGUGUAGCGGUGAAAUGCGUAGAGAUGUGGAGGAAUACCGGUGGCGAAGGCGGCCCCCUGGACAAAGACUGACGCUCAUGUGCGAAAGCGUGGGGAGCAAACAGGGAUUAGAUACC